AUGGCUGCAGAAGCCUAUAUUCCAAAGGACCAGAAGUAUUCAUUCCUGCACAACCCGCAGACUUCCUUCUGCUUCUCAGACUCUAUUCCGACACCCUCCAACAUGGAGGAAACACAGCAGAAAUCCAACUCAGAGCUGCUCCGCAUCUCCCUGCGGCUCAUGUAGUCGUGGCUGGAGCCCGUGCGGUUCCUCAGGAGCAUCUUCACCAACAGCCUGGUGUAUGACACCUCGGACAGCAAUGACUAUGACCUCCUAAAGGACCUAGAAGAAGGCAUCCAAACGCUGAUGGGGAGGCUGGAAGAUGGCAGCCCCCAGACUCGGCAGAUCCUCAAGCAGACCUACAGCAAGUUUGACACAAACUCGCACAACCAUGACGCACUGCUCAAGAACUACGGGCUGCUCCACUGCUUCAGGAAGGACAUGGACAAGGUCGAGACAUUCCUGCGCAUGGUGCAGUGCCGCUCUGUGGAGGGCAGCUGUGGCUUCUAGGUGCCCGCGUGGCAUCCUGUGACCCCUCCCCAGUGCCUC